UGGAUGGACCCGCGGCGUAUUAGCUAGUUGGUGAGGUAAAGGCUCACCAAGGCAGUGAUACGUAGCCGACCUGAGAGGGUAAUCGGCCACAUUGGGACUGAGACACGGCCCAGACUCCUACGGGAGGCAGCAGUAGGGAAUCUUCCACAAUGGACGCAAGUCUGAUGGAGCAACGCCGCGUGAGUGAAGAAGGGUUUCGGCUCGUAAAGCUCUGUUGUUAAAGAAGAACGUGGGUAAGAGUAACUGUUUACCCAGUGACGGUAUUUAACCAGAAAGCCACGGCUAACUACGUGCCAGCAGCCGCGGUAAUACGUAGGUGGCAAGCGUUAUCCGGAUUUAUUGGGCGUAAAGCGAGCGCAGGCGGUCUUUUAAGUCUAAUGUGAAAGCCUUCGGCUCAACCGAAGAAGUGCAUUGGAAACUGGGAGACUUGAGUGCAGAAGAGGACAGUGGAACUCCAUGUGUAGCGGUGAAAUGCGUAGAUAUAUGGAAGAACACCAGUGGCGAAGGCGGCUGUCUGGUCUGCAACUGACGCUGAG
rnacentral:rRNA from 1 species